rnacentral:rRNA from 1 species
UACGGGGGGGGCAAGCGUUGUUCGGAAUUACUGGGCGUAAAGGGCUCGUAGGCGGCCAACUAAGUCAGACGUGAAAUCCCUCGGCUUAACCGGGGAACUGCGUCUGAUACUGGAUGGCUAGAGGUUGGGAGAGGGAUGCGGAAUUCCAGGUGUAGCGGUGAAAUGCGUAGAUAUCGGGAGGAACAUCAGUGGCGAAGGCGGCCCUCUGGUCCAGUACUGACACUCAAGUGCGAAAGCGUGGGGAGCAAACAGG